UGAAUACGAGACGCUAAGGCGUCGAAGUAGUGUAUGUCAUACUUCCAAGAAAAGCUUGCACUGUCAUAGAUAAAAAACGCCUGUACCAUAACCGACACAGGUGGGUAGGUAGAGUAUACUAAGGGGCGCGAGAUAACUCUCUCUAAGGAACUCGGCAAAAUAACUCCGUAACUUCGGGAGAAGGAGUGCCUUAUUCUUAAGGUUGCAAUAACAAGAUCCAAGCAACUGUUUAUCAAAAACACAGGUCUCCGCUAAGUCGUAAGACGAUGUAUGGGGGCUGACGCCUGCCCAGUGCCAGAAGGUUAAAGAAGCUGGUUAGCAUUUGCGAAGCUAGUAACUGAAGCCCUGGUGAACGGCGGCCGUAACAAUAACGGUCCUAAGGUAGCGAAAUUCCUUGUCGGGUAAGUUCCGACCCGCACGAAAGGCGUAAUGAUUUGGAUACUGUCUCGGAGAGGGGCUCGGUGAAAUAGACUUGUCUGUGAAGAUGCGGACUACCUGCACCAGGACAGAAAGACCCUAUGAAGCUUUACUGUAACUUGAAAUUGAAAUUGGACUUUAUUCGCGCAGUAUAGGUGGGAGGCGUUGAUUAUAAUCUUGCGGGAUUAUUGGAGCCAUUAGUGAGAUACCACUCUUGUAAUGUUAGAUUUCUAACUUUGAAUCAUUAUCUGGUCAAGGAACAGUUUCAGGCGGGCAGUUUGACUGGGGCGGUCGCCUCCCAAACGGUAACGGAGGCGUACAAAGGUUUCCUCUGAACGGUUAGAAAUCGUAUCUAGAGUGUAAAGGCAUAAGGAAGCUUGACUGUGAGACCUACAAGUCGAGCAGGGACGAAAGUCGGUCUUAGUGAUCUGACGGUACUGAGUGGAAAGGCCGUCACUCAACGGAUAAAAGUUACUCUAGGAUAACAGGCUGAUCUCCCCCAAGAGUUCACAUCGACGGGGAGGUUUGGCACCUUGAUGUCGGCUCAUCGCAUCCUGGGGCGGUAGUACGUCCCAAGGGUUGGGCUGUUCGCCCAUGAAAGCGGUACGCGAGCUGGGUUCAGAACGUCGUGAGACAGUUCGGUCCAUAUCCGGUGUAGGCGUUAGAAUAUUGAGAGGAGCCUUCUUUAGUACGAGAGGACCGAGAAGGACAUACCUCUGGUGUACCAGUUAUCGUGCCAACGGUAGACGCUGGGUAGCUAUGUAUGGAGUGGAUAACCGCUGAAAGCAUCUAAGUGGGAAGCCCACCUCAAGAUAAGUAUUCUCA
rnacentral:rRNA from 1 species